AUGUGGAGCUUUGGUGGUGUUGGUGUCGCUGGUGGUGUCCGACAAGUUUACUGCAGCCAGAAAUAUUUGUAUAAAACUUACCAAAUUGGAAAUCUCACCAAAACUGAACUGUAAAGACAUAGUAGACGAUACAAAUAAUACAAGGAAUUCAAACAAGACGUGCGUCUUUCAUUCUCAGAUUCAUAUCUCAAACAAUCACUCGAAUACAUCAAUAGAAGAAAGAUAUAAUGAAAAUUUACAUUUCAACAACAAGAAAAACAGUUUCUCAUCAAGAAAUUUGGGCCAUCUGAUGAGAAACUUCCGG